rnacentral:other from 1 species
AAUUUCCUGCUGUGUUCGACCUAUUCGGCAAACCAAAUGGCCCGGACCGUUAAUACGUUCAUGGGGGCUAAGCUGACCUUCGGCUGUCAGGCCUUGAUUGGAAGGCAAAAGUCGGACGGCGGCUCCCUCCCUGUAGAGAAUACGGGAACGUGAGCCUAACCCGCCGGAGACGGCACGAGUGGGAGUUAU